AACGAACGCUGGCGGCAGGCUUAACACAUGCAAGUCGAGCGCAUCCUUCGGGGUGAGCGGCGGACGGGUUAGUAACGCGUGGGAACGUGCCCUUUGCUCUGGAAUAGCCCUGGGAACCUGGGGGUAAUACCGGAUGUGCCCUGAGGGGGAAAGGUUUAUCCGGCAAGGGAUCGGCCCGCGUCUGAUUAGGUAGUUGGUGGGGUAACGGCUCACCAAGCCGACGAUCGGUAGCUGGUUUGAGAGGAUGAUCAGCAACACUGGGACUGAGACACGACCCAGACUCCUACGGGAGGCAGCAGUGGGGAAUCUUGGACAAUGGGGGCAACCCUGAUGCAGCGACGCCGCGUGAGUGAUGAA
rnacentral:rRNA from 1 species